rnacentral:misc_RNA from 1 species
GGACUACUGGGGUAUCUAAUCCUGUUCGCUCCCCACACUUUCGCUCCUCAGCGUCAGGACAUGCCCAGAGAACCGCCUUCGCCACCGGUGUUCCUCCUGAUAUCUGCGCAUUUCACCGCUACACCAGGAAUUCCGUUCUCCCCUGCAUGCCUCUAGUCUGCCCGUAUCGGAAGCAAGCCAUGAGUUAAGCCCAUGGUUUUCACUCCCGACGCGACAAACCGCCUACGAGCCCUUUACGCCCAAUAAUUCCGGACAACGCUCGCACCCUACGUAUUACCGCGGCGGCUGGCAC